CCUACGGGAGGCAGCAGUGGGGAAUAUUGGGCAAUGGGCGCAAGCCUGACCCAGCAACGCCGCGUGAAGGAAGAAGGCCCUCGGGUUGUAAACUUCUUUUAACAGGGACGAAGAAAGUGAUGGUUCCUGUUGAAUAAGCCACUGCGAACUAGGUGCCAGCAGCAGCGGUAAUACGUAGGCGGCAAGCGUUAGCCGGAUUUACUGGGUGUAAAGGGCGUGUAGGCGGGAGAGGAAGUCAGACGUGAAAUUCCGGGGCUCAACCCUGGAACUGCGUUUGAAACUGUUCUUCUUGAGUGAUGGAGAGGCAGGCGGAAUUCCGUGUGUAGCGGUGAAAUGCGUAGAUAUACGGAGGAACACCAGUGGCGAAGGCAGCCUACUGGACAUUAACUGACGCUGAGGCGCGAAAGCGUGGGGAGCAAACAGGAUUAGAUACCCUUGUAGUC
rnacentral:rRNA from 1 species